UAUGUAUAGUGGGAAGGGGACAGGGAUACUGGAGUGAUGAGGUAGAUAUGUAUAGGGGGAAGGAGACAGGGAUACUGGAGUGAUGGAGGUAGAUAUGUAUAGGGGGAAGGAUGGAGGUGAUAUGUAUAGGAGGAAGGGGACAGGGAUACUGGAGUGAUGGAGGUAGAUAUGUAUAGGGGGAAGGGGACAGGGAUACUGGAGUGAUGGAGGUAGAUAUGUAUAGGGGAAGGGGACAGGGAUACUGGAGUGAUGGAGGUAGAUAUGUAUAGUGGGAAGGGGACAGGGAUACUGGAGUGAUGGAGGUAGAUAUGUAUAGUGGGAAGGGGACAGGGAUACUGGAGUGAUGGAGGUAGAUAUGUAUAGGGGAAGGGGACAGGGAUACUGGAGUGAUGGAGGUAGAUAUGUAUAGGGGGAAGGGGACAGGGAUACUGGAGUGAUGGAGGUAGAUAUGUAUAGGGGGAAGGGGACAGGGAUACUGGAGUGAUGGAGGUAGAUAUGUAUAGGGGGAAGGGGACAGGGGUACUGGAGUGAUGGAGGUAGAUAUGUAUAGUGGGAAGGGGACAGGGAUACUGGAGUGAUGGAGGUAGAUAUGUAUAGGGGGAAGGGGACAGGGAUACUGGAGUGAUGGAGGUAGAUAUGUAUAGUGGGAAGGAUGGAGGUAGAUAUGUAUAGUGGGAAGGAUGGAGGUAGAUAUGUAUAGUGGGAAGGGGACAGGGAUACUGGAGUGAUGGAGGUAGAUAUGUAUAGUGGGAAGGAUGGAGGUAGAUAUGUAUAGUGGGAAGGAUGGAGGUAGAUAUGUAUAGGGGGAAGGAUGGAGGUAGAUAUGUAUAGGGGGAAGGAUGGAGGUAGAUAUGUAUAGGGGGAAGGAUGGAGGUAGAUAUGUAUAGGGGGAAGGAUGGAGGUAGAUAUGUAUAGGGGGAAGGAUGGAGGUAGAUAUGUAUAGGGGGAAGGAUGGAGGUAGAUAUGUAUAGGGGGAAGGGGACAGGGAUACUGGAGUGAUGGAGGUAGAUAUGUAUAGUGGGAAGGAUGGAGGUAGAUAUGUAUAGGGGGAAGGGGACAGGGAUACUGGAGUGAUGGAGGUAGAUAUGUAUAGUGGGAAGGAUGGAGGUGAUAUGUAUAGGGGGAAGGGGACAGGGAUACUGGAGUGAUGGAGGUGAUAUGUAUAGGGGGAAGGGGACAGGGAUACUGGAGUGAUGGAGGUAGAUAUGUAUAGUGGGAAGGAUGGAGGUAGAUAUGUAUAGGGGGAAGGGGACAGGGAUACUGGAGUGAUGGAGG